AUGGGUUCUUUGGAAGAAAGAAUUGCUUCUACUAAAAAGGGAUCUAUAACUUCGAUUCAAGCAGUUUAUGUACCUGCAGACAAUUUGACCGACCCUGCCCCCCUAGUGAACUGA
rnacentral:rRNA from 1 species